AGGUAAGCUGUUACUGACCUCUGAGCUUAACAAAUGGAUAGAGGAGCGAAAGAGAAUGAGAAUGGACAGAUGCUCCAACCAGGAAGUAGGUCUUCGUCGCUGACAUUUCACCUGAUCCAUUAGGAAUUGACAAAACAUUUCUGCGAUUAUCAUUGUUGAUAAGAGAAUACAAAGGACUGCCUCAGUCCAAUUCAUGGUCAAAAUUUUAAUUUUAGUGGUGUUUUUCAGGGGAUUUUCGGAACAGUUCUUGAGACAUAACCUCAAAAGGUAGAGAAUUCAGAAGGAAGUGAUUUUUACCUGACUUUGUGUCGUUUAUGGCGAUGAUGGUGUCGAUGAUGAUGAUGAUGAUGCCUAUGAGCUUUUUGUGUUCAUAAUCGUUAUCAGCCAUUGAAAAUAAUAAAAAAAACUAAAUUUUUGCAACUAAAAAGAGAAUGAAAACUCACGUUCAUUCGCGUUGAGAAAUUGGUAAACAUAUUCUGCCAACCUUGAACCAAAAAAUUUGACGAACAUUCAAAACUCAGAUUCCUAAAAAUUGUAGACUCCCUCAAUUUUUUGUGGGAUUUCGAGACAAACAGAUGAAUCUCUAGGAAGAUUUUACCGAGACUGGAAAACGUAAUAUUUGUCAUUCAAUCAGCGAAGUUAGGGUCCUUGAAAAUGAAAUCAAUCCUCACACUAUUUUGAUUUGUCAUACUGCCUCCUUGGAAAAAUUGUAAACAAGAAGCCUCUUAUCUUCUUAUCUUUUAUCAAAACUUUGCAAGAAGCGGUCGCAAAAAAGACUAAUUUUCUACUAUUUACCAUGAAAGUAAAGUGAAGUUGACGCUUUCGCGUUGUGCCAAAUAAAAUUCAAAUAAUCUCAGUUCACAAUGCAAUCUGAAGAUGCCAGAUUCAUCAAAAAGAGAUUUAGAGCCGGCGCGAUAGAUGUUCAUCCAACAGAGAAAGCUCUUAUUGUCAACUAUGAACUGGAAGCGUUCAUCUUAGGUGAACAUGGUGAUCCAAUUCUCGGAGAAAGCAAGUGAGUAUCUUUUCUGAGUCAGGUAUCCUUGAAAUAGUUUUAAAGAAUGUAUUGAUGACUUUAAUGGGGGAAGAAGUUAGCAAAUUCCUGUCUG
rnacentral:lncRNA from 1 species